rnacentral:rRNA from 1 species
GAUGAACGCUGGCGGCGUGCCUAAUACAUGCAAGUUGAGCGCAGGGACGAGGUGCUUGUUUUAACGGUGUUAGCGGCGGACGGGUGAGUAACACGUGGAGAACCUGCCUAUAAGACUGGGAUAACUUCUGGAAACCAGAGCUAAUACCGGAUAAAAUCUUUAAACGCAUGGUUCAAGAGUGAAAGAUGCAAUUGCUGCAAUCAAUAGUUGGCUCCGCUCUGCAUUAGCUAGUUGGUAAGGAAAGGGUCUACCAAGGCAACGUUCCUAGGCCGACCGGGAAGGUGGAUCGGCCACACUGGAACUGGAAACCGCCCAAGAUUCCUAGGGGAGCAGCCGGUAGGGAAUCUCCGCCAAGGGCGGAAGGCCUGCCGGAGCAACCCCGCGUGAUUGAUGAAGGUCUUCGGUUCUUAAACCCUUUUUAUUAGGGAAGAACAUAUGUGUAAGUAACUGUGCACAUCGUGACGGUACCUAACCAGAAAGCCACGGCUAACUACGUG